AUGUGUUGCGUCCGUGCCUUCCCCGCACACCUCGUCACCAUCCCUCGGAAAAUUGAGGAAAUCAAGGACUUUCUGCCCACAGCCAGGUGAAAAGAUGCCAAGUCUGUCAAGAUCAAGAAAAAUACGGAUAACGUGAAGUUUAAAGUUCGAUGCAGCAGAUACCUGUAUACCUUGGUCAUCACAGACAAAGAGAAGGCGGAGAAACUGAAGCAGUCCCUGCCCCCUGGUUUGGCAGUGAAGGAGCUGAAAAGACGGAGACAUGCUGACUUGAAUUGUAUUAAAUUUUAG